CGUUAGCGGCGGACGGGUGAGUAACACGUGGGUAACCUACCUAUAAGACUGGGACAACUUCGGGAAACCGGAGCUAAUACCGGAUAAGAUAUCGAACCGCAUGGUUCGAUAGUGAAAGAUGGUUUUGCUAUCACUUAUAGAUGGACCCGCGCCGUAUUAGUUAGUUGGUGAGGUAACGGCUCACCAAGGCAACGAUACGUAGCCGACCUGAGAGGGUGAUCGGCCACACUGGAACUGAGACACGGUCCAGACUCCUACGGGAGGCAGCAGCC
rnacentral:rRNA from 1 species